rnacentral:rRNA from 1 species
UCUCUCUGAAUCUGCGAACGGCUCCGCAAACCAGUUGUAAACCAUAGCAAGAAUGCGUCGGCCCGUAAGGGCUGGCCCGUUUUCAAAACGCUUUUAUAUGGAUAACCGUGGUAAUUCUGAGGCUAAUACAUGACAAACCGAACCACCGACCCUUCGGGGUACGUGGGAACGUGUGAAUUUGAGGCUGGGAAUUUCGUGAAUGAACGCACGUUCAGACCACCGCUUAAGGAGUCGGCUCUCGGGUCGGCUCUGGUGGCUCUUGCAGCGGGCUUCUGACCUAUCAACUACACAGCAGCGUAACGGACAUGCUAUGGUAACAACGGGUACAGAGGAUUAGGGUUCGAUCCUGGAGAGUGGGCCUGAGAGAUU